CAGCCACAUCAUGUUCAAACACUGGUUCCCAUAUGAACACUGAAGUUAAGCAACAUCGAGUAUGGUCAGAACCUAGAUAGGUGACCACUUGGAAAUACCAGGUACUGUAAG